CGGCGUGCUUAACACAUGCAAGUCGAACGGGGUUAGAGGAGGAGCAAUCCGAGCCUAACCUAGUGGCGGACGGGUGCGUAACGCGUGAACAAUCUGUCCUUGUGAGGGGGAUAACACUUAGAAAUAGGUGCUAAUACCGCGUAAGACCACGGCAUCGCAUGGUGCUGGGGUAAAAGGAGAAAUCCGCAGAAGGGUGAGUUCGCGUCUGAUUAGCUAGUUGGUGGGGUAACGGCCCACCAAGGCGACGAUCAGUAGCCGAUCUGAGAGGAUGACCGGCCACACUGGAACUGAGAAACGGUCCAGACUCCUACGGGAGGCAGCAGUGGGGAAUAUUGGGCAAUGGGCGAAAGCCUGACCCAGCAACGCCGCGUGAGGGAAGAAGGUUUUCGGAUCGUAAACCUCUGUCGCAGGGGACGAGUAGAUGACGGUACCCUGUGAGGAAGCUCCGGCUAACUACGUGCCAGCCGCCGC
rnacentral:rRNA from 1 species